GACGUAGGGCGCAAGCGUUGUCCGGAAUCACUGGGCGUAAAGGGCGCGUAGGCGGCUCGGUAAGUAGGGUGUGAAAUCCUGCGGCUUAACCGCAGGGCUGCCUUCUAAACUGUCGAGCUUGAGCACGGUAGAGGCAGAUGGAAUUCCCGGUGUAGCGGUGGAAUGCGUAGAGAUCGGGAAGAACAUCAGUGGCGAAGGCGGUCUGCUGGGCCGUUGCUGACGCUGAGGCGCGACAGCGUGGGGAGCGAACAGG
rnacentral:rRNA from 1 species